rnacentral:lncRNA from 10 species
GCUGGCCCCAGCUGCUCAGACAGGAGCUGCCAGGGGAGACUUCCCUGGGGGCAGCCCCAGCCCUCCACGCUCUGGAGGAGGAAAAAGCUUUGGUGUCUGUCAAGAACAUUAUUCAAAAAUUCUUGGACACUUCUAAGCCCUUUCUGUGAGCAUGGAGACAGGGGGUUGAGGGAAGCUUUGCCUAGGCUGGGAUGGCACUUGGGUAUAGCCCCAGGUUUGAGUGCUGCUGUAUUCAUGGACAGUGCCCCAGAGGAAGAAGCACCGUGGGGACUCUCACUGCAAAGAAGACAGACCAUUAUCAACACUCCUCCCCUCUGUUCCCCAAAGUCCCCUCCUGACCGCAGCAUCAAUCUUCCACGCUGGCCGGCCGGAGGUGGUGCCUCUGGCAGAUUUAAAUGAGAGCAUGAAGGUGGGACCUCCAUUACUGGAUUAGUGUCCUUAUAAGAAGAGGAAGAGACCAGAGCUCACUCUCCCCACCACGUGAGGAUACAGUGAGAAGGUGGCUGUCUGCAAGCCAAGAGCCCUCACCCAAACAGAAUCUGCUGGUAUCUUGAUGUUGGAUUUUCUAGCCUCCAGGACUGUGAGAAAUAAAUGUGUGUUGUUUAAACCACCCAGUCUAUGGUAUUUUGUUAUAGUAGCUAGGGCUGAC